rnacentral:misc_RNA from 1 species
GUAGGUGAACCUGCGGAAGGAUCAUUACAACGUAUCCACGUACCAAACUCGUGCACUGUUUCCCUCUAGAGUAAACAACUCGUGGUUGAGGUCAAUGGUCGAUCGGUUCCACUGAUGGAGUUCUCUCUCAGAGAACUGGAAAGCUUUCGUCCGCCAAAUGCGCUAGUCUCCGGACCGGUGCAGGAGGGACUUCGUUUGCUCUACUGCGGUUUUGCGACCGUCAGCGCUAGUUUUACCAUUAUUAACCCUU